AAGCACAAAUGACUUUAUUGUUUCCAAAAUUUGUACUUUCCCUGCUCAAAACAAUGUUGUUUCUUAACUAUACCUGUCUGCUAGACACCUGUAGCAGCCAGGGAUGCUUGGUCUCAAACAC
rnacentral:snoRNA from 1 species